rnacentral:misc_RNA from 1 species
UACGGAAGGUGCAAGCGUUAAUCGGAAUUACUGGGCGUAAAGCGCGCGUAGGCGGCUGAUUAAGUCGGAUGUGAAAGCCCCGGGCUUAACCUGGGAACUGCAUUCGAUACUGAUCGGCUAGAGUGUGGGAGAGGAAGGUAGAAUUCCUAGUGUAGCGGUGAAAUGCGUAGAUGUUAGGAGGAAUACCGGUGGCGAAGGCGGCCUUCUGGCCUAACACUGACGCUGAGGUGCGAAAGCGUGGGGAGCAAACAGG